rnacentral:rRNA from 2 species
GUCUUUUUGUUAAAAAUUUAAAGUCGGGCCUGCCCACUGAAAUUUUAAAUGGCCGUGGUAUUUUGACCGUGCUAAGGUAGCAUAAUCAUUAGUUUUUUAAUUGAAAGCUGGAAUGAAGGGUUUGAUAAAAAAAUGACUGUCUCUAUUUAAUUUUAUUAGAAUUUUAUUUUUAAGUUCAAAAGCUUAAUUACUAUUAAAAGACGAGAAGACCCUAUAGAGUUUAAUAAUUAAAAGUGAUAUUUAUUUUAGAAUUAAAUUAUUUAUUAUUUAAUAUUAUUUAAUUGGGGUGAUUGAAAAAUUUAAUUAACUUUUUUUUAAUUUAACCAUAAAUUUAUGAUUUUUUGAUCCAAUUUUUUUGAUUAUAAGAUAAAAUUACCUUAGGGAUAACAGCGUAAUUUUUUUAGAAAGUUCAAAUUAAAAGAAAAGAUUGCGACCUCGAUGUUGGAUUAAAAUUAAAUUUUGGUGUAGAAGCUAAAACUUUGAGUCUGUUCGACUUUUAAAAUUUUACA